rnacentral:lncRNA from 1 species
GUGGCAUCAGCACUCGGUGGUGGGUAUGAUUAGCCGACGUUGGUGUUACGACACUGUUCAGCCCUACUUCAAAAGCUUUGCUAUUCCGUUCUCUUUUUCUCAAUUAAAGAUUUUACAACGAAGCAGAGCGGGGAGGGAGGGAUAGAGGAAGAACAGUGGAGGAAUAGAGUGAAGAGAGAGCAAGAGUGGGAGGAGAGGGUUGGAUCAAAGAGAAGAGCAGAAGUGGAUGGAUGAUGCCAGGACUUUCACCUCAGACGUCGCUUCCUCUUCUUCCCCUGUUGUGAUCCAAUUUAGAGAAGAAAGAA